UGGGGAAUAUUGGACAAUGGGCGAAAGCCUGAUCCAGCAAUGCCGCGUGAGUGAUGAAGGCCCUAGGGUUGUAAAGCUCUUUUACCCGGGAUGAUAAUGACAGUACCGGGAGAAUAAGCCCCGGCUAACUCCGUGCCAGCAGCCGCGGUAAUACGGAGGGGGCUAGCGUUGUUCGGAAUUACUGGGCGUAAAGCGCGCGUAGGCGGCUUUGUAAGUUAGAGGUGAAAGCCCGGAGCUCAACUCCGGAAUUGCCUUUAAGACUGCAUCGCUAGAAUCGUGGAGAGGUGAGUGGAAUUCCGAGUGUAGAGGUGAAAUUCGUAGAUAUUCGGAAGAACACCAGUGGCGAAGGCGACUCACUGGACACGUAUUGACGCUGAGGUGCGAAAGCGUGGGGAGCAAACA
rnacentral:rRNA from 1 species